AUUGAACGCUGGCGGCAUGCCUUACACAUGCAAGUCGAACGGUAACGCGGGGCAACCUGGCGACGAGUGGCGAACGGGUGAGUAAUGUAUCGGAACGUGCCCAGUUGUGGGGGAUAACUGCUCGAAAGAGCAGCUAAUACCGCAUACGACCUGAGGGUGAAAGCGGGGGAUCGCAAGACCUCGCGCAAUUGGAGCGGCCGAUAUCAGAUUAGGUAGUUGGUGGGGUAAAGGCCCACCAAGCCAACGAUCUGUAGCUGGUCUGAGAGGACGACCAGCCACACUGGGACUGAGACACGGCCCAGACUCCUACGGGAGGCAGCAGUGGGGAAUUUUGGACAAUGGACGCAAGUCUGAUCCAGCCAUGCCGCGUGCGGGAAGAAGGCCUUCGGGUUGUAAACCGCUUUUGUACGGAGCGAAAAGGCUCCCUCUAAUACAGGGGGCUCAUGACGGUACCGUAAGAAUAAGCACCGGCUAACUACGUGCCAGCCGCCGCGGUAAUAC
rnacentral:rRNA from 1 species